UACAGAGGUGGCAAGCGUUGUUCGGAAUUACUGGGCGUAAAGCGCGUGUAGGCGGCUUAUCAAGUCAGGCGUGAAAUCCCGGGCUCAACUGGGGACUGCGCUUGAUACUGAUGAGCUUGAAUGCGGGAGAGGAUAGUGGAAUUCCCAGUGUAGAGGUGAAAUUCGUAGAUAUUGGGAAGAACACCAGUGGCGAAGGCGGCUAUCUGGCCCGUAAUUGACACUGAGGUGCGAAAGCGUGGGGAGCAAACAGGAUUAGAUACCCGAGUAGU
rnacentral:rRNA from 1 species